rnacentral:misc_RNA from 1 species
AAACAAGUACCAAUUUAAAUUCAACAAUUGAUGCAUUGAUUUAGAACCGCGACCAAUAUGAGAUGAAUUGGCAUAUGGCAUAGCAGGGUUUGUAUAUUAGCAAAAAGGAAAGAUUUUUUAGUGUGAGGAUCGGGUAAUACGAAUGCAAAGCUCUGGCUUCCAGGUGCAGCAAAAGGGUUGUCUCACAAGUCACAACAUCCGGCCCCUCAACAUGGCUUCUGCUUUCCUUACCUGCUUCAGGGGUCCAAUGAUGAAAACCUUGUCUGGCGCUCCCUUCGAUCCACUGAUUAGGAUUUCUGCCUUGCAUGAUUCUUUG